rnacentral:miRNA from 1 species
CAAAACAUCUUGCAGCUUUCCUA